rnacentral:rRNA from 1 species
UGUACCUACGGGAGGCAGCAGUGGGGGAUAUUACACAAUGGGGGAAACCCUGAUGCAGCGACGCCGCGUGAGUGAAGAAGUAUUUCGGUAUGUAAAGCUCUAUCAGCAGGGAAGAAAAAAGACGGUACCUGACUAAGAAGCUCCGGCUAACUACGUGCCAGCAGCCGCGGUAAUACGUAGGGGGCAAGCGUUAUCCGGAUUUACUGGGUGUAAGGGGAGCGUAGACGGCAAUACAAGUCGGCAGUGAAAUACCCGGGCUUAACAUGGGAACUGCUUUGGCAACUGUAUGGCUGGAGUGCU